GUUAUAUUGACAGAGAAGUGUGAUGAAUUUAGAAUUCAUUUAUGUGUUGUUACACAUAUAAUA
rnacentral:tRNA from 1 species